GUCUUGGUCUGUAAUUCAUCAUCUUCAUUUUGGAAGUUGACCUGCUGAUCAAUAAAGCAGAAGCUUGGUGUUUUUAUUUUUCCUUUUAUGCAAUAAAUUUGCAUAGUAGCAUGACCGCUGGGAUCUUUGGUAGAUAGAGGAAUAGGCCAAAAAAUGAGUCUGAUAGGUGGUGACCCUUUCAUCUUUUCACAGGAUCACGGGGCCAUGAGCCAGAGGAGAUGUGAGAGGUAAACCUUCCAGGUCUUAAGGGGCUUUUUCUGACAUGGAAGUCGGGGUCAUGUUAAGUACUGAGUGAUGACGAGAAAGAUAAAGAUGAUUCAAUCCUGGAAGUCCAAAUGUAAUGAUAUGUUGGUUCCUUUUAUCACAGACGUCCAUUGUGACCAUGGCAGGCUGCUCUGCACCACACUGUUGCCACUUGCAGCAACUGGAACAAGGCUUGACAUGGAUCAGCAUGGCACUGACUGCUGUGAUGAAAGAUGAGUUCUGUAACCAUACCAGAGACGAUGCAUGUCCGACAGCUGGUGUGCAAGAGUAUGUGCAAAACCUCUUGGUCCAGUCCUCAGCUGCUAUGAAUUCCAGUUGUAAGUACAAUUGAAAUAUUUAAAAAUAAAAAUAAAUUAAACAAAAGGGAUUAAAAAAAGGAAACAAACAAACAAGCAACCUCAGAGCAACGUGAUUAAAAUUAGAGCUAAUUAAAAUCUUCUGGUUAAGAAAAAAAACCCAUCUUCUGGCCUUAAUGUGUGUGCAGAGAAGCACAGCUACAACAUAAACAAUAGGAAAGAAGCCUUGGAUUAAAAAUCCUUUGUUUCUCUUGAAGAGGUCUCUUCUGACUUCAUUUACUUGAAAUGAAAACCUUCUACAAAUGGAGAAGCGAUUUGGAAAUAUUUGAAGCCACAGACAAAGUUUUAUUUUUUAAAACAUAUUUAAAAAUCGCACAGAUAUAAAUACAGAUAAAUAAAUACAAUUUAUUAUGUGGAAAAGAACCCAAGGAAGGCAUGCUUCCAU